rnacentral:rRNA from 1 species
AUAGGAUGGGUCUGCGGCGUAUCAGGUCGUAGGGGGUGUAAUGGACCUCCUAGCCAUCGACGCGUACGGGUGUUGGGAGACAUAGCCCGGAGAUGGAUUCUGAGACACGAAUCCAGACCCUAUGGGGUGCAGCAGGCGCGAAAACUUCACACUGCAGGAAACUGUGAUGAGGGAACUCCAAGUGCUAUCACCAUGUGGUAGCUUUUCUUAACUAUUAAUCGGUUUUGGAAUAAGGGCUGGGAAAGACCGGUGCCAGCCGCCGCGGUAAUACCGGCAGCUCAAGUGGUCGUCGCUUUUAUUGGGCCUAAAACGUCCGUAGCCUGUUUGGUAAAUCUGUGGGUAAAUCAACCAGCUUAACUGGUUGAAUUCUGCAGAGACUGCCAGACUAGGGACCGGGAGAGGUGUGGGGUACUCUAGGGGUAGGGGUAAAAUCCUGUCAUCCUUAGAGGACCACCAGUUGCGAAGGCGCCACACUGGAACGGAUCCGACGGUCAGGGACGAAGCCUAGGGGCACGAACCGGAUUAGAUACCCGGGUAGUCCUAGGUGUAAACGCUGUGAACUUGGUGUCGGGGAUCCGUAAUGGGUUCUCGGUGCCGGAGUGAAGAUGUUAAGUUCACUGCCUGGGGAGUACGGUCGCAAGGUUGAAACUUAAAGGAAUUGGCGGGGCAGCAC